rnacentral:rRNA from 1 species
CCUACGGGUGGCAGCAGUGUGGAAUAUUGGUCAAUGGUCGCGACUCUGAUCCAGCCACGCCGCGUGCGUGAUGAAGGUACUGAGUAUUGUAAACCUCUUUUGUCAGGGAACAAAGGCGGGGACGCGUCCCCGGAUGAGUGUACCUGAAGAAAAAGCAUCGGCUAACUCCGUGCCAGCAGCCGCGGUAAUACGGGGGAUGCGGGCGUUAUCCGGAUUUAUUGGGUUUAACGGGUGCGCAGGGGGUCUGUUAUGUCAGCGGUCAAAGCGCGGUGCAAAACUCCGGCCCGCCGUUGAAACUGGCAGGCGCGAGUGGGGGAGAAGUAUGCGGAAGGCGGGGUGUAGCGGUGAAAGGCAUAGAGA